GCUUACGGCCACACCACCCUGAACACGCCUGAUCUCGUCUGAUCUCGGAAGCUAAGCAGGGCCGGGCCUGGUUAGUACUUGGAUGGGAGACCGCCUGGGAAUACCAGGUGCUGUAAGUU
ensembl:rRNA 5S_rRNA 5S ribosomal RNA